GGGGCUGUGGCUCAGUGGCAGAGCCCCUGCUUAGCAUGCAGAAGGUCCCAGGUUCGAUCCCUGGCAUCUUCA